AGAGUUUGAUCCUGGCUCAGGAUGAACGCUAGCGGCAGGCUUAACACAUGCAAGUCGAGGGGCAUCACAGGUAGCAAUACUUGGUGGCGACCGGCGUAAGGGUGCGUAACGCGUGAGCAACAUGCCCUAUACAGGGGGAUACGCCAGGGAAACUUGGUUUAAUACUCCAUGUGAAUUAUAAGUGGCAUCACAUAUAAUUUAAAGCUUCGGUGGUAUAGGAUUGGCUCGCGUGACAUUAGCUAGAUGGUGAGGUAACGGCUCCCCAUGGCUACGAUGUCUAGGGGUUCUGAGAGGAAGGUCCCCCACACUGGGACUGAGACACGGCCCAGACUCCUACGGGAGGCAGCAGUGAGGAAUAUUGGACAAUGGAUGCAAAUCUGAUCCAGCCAUGCCGCGUGCAGGAAGAGAGCCCUAUGGGUUGUAAACUGCUUUUCUACGGGAGCAAUAAGGUUUACUAGUAGACUGAUGAGAGUACCGUAGGAAUAAGCAUCGGCUAACUCCGUGCCAGCAGCCGCGGUAAUACGGAGGAUGCGAGCGUUAUCCGGAUUUAUUGGGUUUAAAGGGUGCGUAGGCGGCUUUGUAAGUCAGCGGUGAAAUUUUGCAGCUUAACUGUAAGCGUGCCGUUGAUACUGUGAGGCUAGUAUUUGGUUGCUGUGAGUGGAAUGUGUGGUGUAGCGGUGAAAUGCAUAGAUAUCACACAGAAUAUCGAUUGCGAAGGCAGCUCACAAAGCCACGAUUGACGCUGAUGCACGAAAGUGUGGGGAUCAAACAGGAUUAGAUACCCUGGUAGUCCACACUGUAAACGAUGAUAACUCGCUGUCGGCGAUAUAGUGUCGGUGGCCAAGCGAAAGCGAUAAGUUAUCCACCUGGGGAGUACGACCGCAAGGUUGAAACUCAAAGGAAUUGACGGGGGCCCGCACAA
rnacentral:rRNA from 1 species